AUUAAUUUCAAACUAUUUACUUAUAUUUUUAUGUAUGAUUAAAAUUAAAAGAACUUAAACCAAAAAACAAUUAAUAUGUGAUUUGUCAAGUUUGUGCUUGGCUAAUUGUCAUGAUACACACUCAUAAUGCACAUUUCAAUAAUCGUCAUAAUAAUUGUUCCAGAAAAUUUUUAUUCAAAAAAUUACAAAUAUUUAUUUUAAUUUUCAAAAGAAUGUCUUUUCUCUCCUUUAAUAUUUCAUACAUAAUUCUUAGCUGCUCGCAGCCAGAGUCAAACAUCUUCAACUCCCCCUCGUGCAAAAGUUAUUUUGGCAUCAUAAUCCACAUCCCUGAAUAAAACAUAUUAAAAUAGGCAAAUUUUGCAAAACUUGUUUCACUCAUUAGCAAACGAGAAAUAUUUCAUUUAUAGACUAAGUCUUAUAAAAAUUCAUAUAUGCUCAGACUUUGCAAUGAUUUUUGCAUAAAUUAAUAUUUCUGUCAGUUAAAUUUUCAUUUCUUGAAAUAACAUGGAAAUGUUCUGAUGUUCUGAAAGAAAAAGCGUUUUAAUGGUCAUUUGUUAUUAAAUGAUAAAUAAUAUUUUUCCUUAGGAGGAGGUGGAAACGGAAAUCCACCAAAAGGAGGUGGAGGAAAAGGAGGCAAAAACGGAAAAUGUCAACAGGGAGGUGUUACUGGACUUGCCAACAGCGUGAACAAGGCUGGACAGAGUAAGAUUUUUAUUGCAAAAUUUUUCUGAAUAUUUAAAACUAAACUUUUUUAACCUUCCCUAUACAGUGUUAGAAAUUUCUCGGAAAAAAGUGUCAAAUAACAAUUUAUUCGAUUGUUAUUUUAAAAAAUUCAAACAGAACAGUCAAUUAAUCUAAACUGAGAUGGUAUUCAAUCUAUAAAUCGUGAGAAAACUAUUUAAUGACUGCUUUCCCCUAAUAUGGUUAAACUACUAUAAUUUUAUCAAACCGACCUAAUGUCGAUACUCAGUUCCUUCAUCAUUCUCAAUAGGUGAAUUAACCAGCUACAAUAAGCGAAUACCAUUGCUUAUUUGACUU